UACGGAAGGGGCAAGCGUUGUUCGGAAUCAUUGGGCGUAAAGGGCGCGUAGGUGGCUCUGUGUGUCUACCGUGAAAGCGUACGGCUCAACCGUAUUUUUGUCGGUAGAAACUGCAGGACUUGAGGCUGGGAGGGGCUGGUGGAAUUCCCUGUGUAGCGGUGAAAUGCGUAGAGAUGGGGGAGAACACUCGUGGCGAAGGCGGCCAGCUAGACCAGUUCUGACACUGAGGCGCGACAGCGUGGGGGAGCAAACAGG
rnacentral:rRNA from 1 species